UGGCUGUUGUGGCGGAUGAAGCUAUUUGGGAGAGGCAAGAAGGGUGGAGGACGCCGACAUCAAGCGAUCACGUAAUACGGAGCUGUCCACCGACGCCGCCAAGGAGGAGGAGGGGGGAGCACGUGUUUGUCGGCGGCGGAACAGAGAAGAGGAGGAAACUGUUCCAUGAGACGACGACAACAACUGCGUCGUUUUUCGAGGCGGCGAAUCGGGAAGAGGUA
rnacentral:lncRNA from 1 species